GAUGAAACAACAUAAAAACAUAGAUCAGAAAAGAGAGUAACAUGGACUCUUUAAACCUUCUCUAAUAUUUAUGGAUAAAAACAAAACGAUCAUCUGCUCGGGCAAGUCACAACGUGUAACAUUAUUUGAGUCUUGCGCUUAACUGCUGUUACGUUAGGUUUACCCUUCGUGGACCACUUGUUGACAGCAAUUUACACAAGGCUUUCUCUCUUUUUAUAGCUGAUGUGUUUGUUUCUUGCGAAUGUGCCGAGUUUGCAUUAGGAGCAGUAGCAGAUAGACGCUUAUGUUGUCACAGCUCGCACGUUGCUUUGAGAACGGGCGGAAUUCAUAUCGGGAGGACUUGUUGCGAGCCAGAGCUGUCAAACAUUGCGCACAGCCGUCUCCAGUCAGUAAGUAACCACGUACCAGACUAAUCCAUCACACAAACAAGUCGGGCAGAUUAACCUUUUUCUUUUACAACAGCGUUCAAACUACGCGUAUUCUCCGUGCAUGUCCGGAAGCUUGUUUUUGUUAAAUCAUGUGCAUUUUUAUGUCACAUGGCUUUGGAGAUUUCAAUAACAACAAAAAAUGGCGACAAUCACGUUGCUCUGUGUGGUCUUGCUGCGUCAUUAAAAAUAUUCAUGUAAACACGAGGAUUUCAGCGUCCAAAUUUCUGCGGGUCUAAUGGAGUUGUUUACAUCAAGUGCAGAGGGCGGACUGGGCUGCGAGGGCGGAGGAGCGUCUGCCGUGCCAGCGACGCGCGCAGACUGCUCGAGGAGGGGGCGGGGCUCCAGACAAUCAUAACAAGUCUGACGUCACUCGAUCCAACAGAAAAUAGAAAGGCAGUAAGCUUUUUAUUAGUGUGUCUGUAUUCUUUUUAUCUUAUUCUAAUAGUAUUUUAUUGAAUUUUGGAUAGAUACAAUAUAUAAUAAUAAUGGGUCUACUUAGCCAUGGCUAUUUUUAUAAUUACCAAAUAAUCACAAUAGAGCUAGUUGAUCCCAUAUCAUGUGAUCAAGUUCAUACUGAAUAUCAUAGUAAUUAAUUUUUUGCAGUAGCAGCCUACAUUACCAAAACAUGAAUUACAGUGUCUAAACUUUAUUGAUCCCAAAGAAAAAUCAGUUUUCAUCCGCAGUAACAAUGAAACAAACAUAGCAAUAGCAGUCCAUUGAUUCAUCAUUAUAUAGCACUUUUUAUAGAUAAAAAUCACAAAGUAGGGUUUAUGUUAAUGUAUCUGUAUUAGACUUGGAACAAGAAAAAAAUUAUGAAAAAUACUUAAUACUGAGUUUGUGCUGCGUGCUGUGUAUGUGGAAAUCUUUGGCAAAUUCCUUAUAGGUCAAUAAAUGGCACUGUUGCAUUGGGACAAAAUGUGAAUAAUUAACAGGUAUGACAUGUCAAGUAAAAAUAAUGAUUUACUCCUUUACAAAAGCAAAAGUUUUCAAUAAAUAACUUGAGAAAUGUUCCAGUCUAGUCUGUACCAGGAAUGGAGUAGUUAAAAUUGCUCAUUCUUGGACAGGCGUAUUUAAAAGUUGUGUGUGUUAAGUCUAUUGCCGAAGGACACAGUGACAAUAUGCGCACCAUUUUUGGGUCAUAUUAUCACUUGAUCUGGUCACUAACAAAGAGGAAAUAAAGUUGAUAAACAUUAAAAACUUCAGUGGUUUUGAUACACUUAACUACAACAUCUCCACCUGCUGCUUUGUUAAAAUAUUUAUGAUGUGAUUUGCUCAUUUGAAAUACGAUAAAUGUCCUUGAAAAUGUAAUAUUCGUAUGUUAAAUUGCUUGUAUGUAUGUAUGAGUGACUAUAAUCCCAGUGUUGAAGAUACCGGCCUGCUUUGGUGUGGACUGCGUGGACUUGCGGGCUGCCCUGGUUCAGUUAUCACAGUGCUGAUGCUGUCCCCAUCGAAGGUACAGUACUGUGAUAACUGAAGGAUGGCUGCCAACUGGACCCAAGAGACCCAGGAACCAAAAGACCCAGGAACCCAAGAACCAAGCAGAAAGGAGAACCUACCAAAACCAAGAACUUCACUCGAAUGCCACAAUAAUUACUAUAUCGACUUAUUGUUCAAUAUAUGAUAGAUGGAACAAUAUGUUUGGGGCGUGAGUAUUUAUCAUGGGUAUUUUUUCUUUGUAAUAGUGGGAUAUUUUUGGUUAUUUGUUUGCAGUAUGGUAAGAUUUGAGCUGUAGAAGGUUGAUUAAAUAACUUCUAUGACUCAUCACAGAUACACACUAAUUACUAAAGGUGCAUUGUGUAACUUUUCUCAUGGAGGGUGCGUCGAAUGUUUUUCUCCAUGGAGAUUUUAUGGCUUUGUCUGGAAUGUUUCACAGUAUGAUAUUAAACCUUUCUAUCGUCAUGGAGACCAAACCAGACCGAGUUACAAGUCAGAUUUGUGGAGAGGUGACCCGACUCACAGUCAGAAUGUAAAUUUUUCUAAGUAUUUUUGAGCUAUAAAACCAACUGUAAUUUAACAAAUGUAAUUUAGAGCUGUUUAAUGUUACACUCAGGUAGAGCGAUGACAUCCGUAGAAACAAGGUGACGGGCCCUCCACCAGAAAAGUUACACAGUGCACCUUUAAGUAAUUAGUAUGUAUCUGUAAUGAGUCAUAGAAGUUAUUUAUUCAAUGUUCAAGUGUUACAUUCUACUAUUUCAGCUCAUGUUUUUUAAAUAUAGCACAGUAUGAAUAGUUUUCUGGGGGUUAAUUUUGCUUCAUGGUGUGGUUUUAUUAUUAUGGCUUAUCUUCUGUUUUUACUUCAGCAGUACUUCACUUCAAAAUAUGUUAUCGUGACAGGCCUAACAAUGCGUCUACAAGCAUUCAGCUAUGACUAUGCGAUGUGGUUUAAGGUUCUUACCACUAGACCUUUCAUCAUAAUACUGCAUUGACUAUUGCUCAAUAAAUUCAAGAUGAGACAACAUUCUUUUGGGUUCAGUAUUUAUUGUGCGUACAUUUUGUUUGUAGUCUUGUAGGGAGCUUUUUGUUAUUUUUUUCUUAGUACCAUAAGUUUUGAGCUGCAGAUUCCUAAUUGUGUCACUGUCAUAAAUCAUUUUUAUUGCAACAGGCCUUUUUGCCAUUGUUUUUUCAUGGUUUUAAUUAAGAGAUUUUUUCUUGUAUUCAUUUAUAAUAAGUUAUUGCAAUAACAACAGACGAGUGUUGCAAUAGCUUGUGGUAACACUUCUGUGUGUAGAUCCAAUAGUAAAUAAAAGUUGCUCGCUGAACAUUU